UAUCGAUCUUUUGACGUAGUAACAUGUUAAAAUCAUAUUGAUCCAAUGUGAAAUACUUUUAAUUGAUUGCUUCGAUUUUUCUUUCAAUGAUAUUCGUUAUCUUCACGAAUUCCACAGGAACAGCAUACUAUUAGUAAUAAGUAAAUAUAAGCAAAAGCGGAACAUACAUAAUAUGUGUAACACAAGCAAAAUACGAAACUGAUAUUUCUCCUAUAUCUAAAAUUAUGAUCAGAAGAGGUCAUUUAGUUCGAAACAUGUAGGAUCAAAGAGAAAUUGAGAUGCUCUUUAGAGGAAAGCUUUAAUUUCAAAGCCGGUUUACGAUGAUAAUAGUUGGUAAUCAGGUUUAUAAUUUCGACAGUAUUCUCCAUAGUAAAAAGUUCGCGUAGUCCAAAAAAAAUAAAUAAAUAAAAGGAAAAAAAAUAUAUAAAAAAAUUAAAAAUCAUUCAAUUUCAAUAAAAGUAUCAAAUACUUCUAUAACUUUUGUGUAUUCGUAUUUCAUAGUAUGACAACGAUUACAGUUCAAAGGAUUCUAAUCGAAUUCAUGGUACUCGAUCGUCACGAUCCGUCAUAGUGAUUCUCCGUUAUCCGGACACGCACGAGCACUCUCGAUAAUCGUGAUAUAGCACACCUUCAGAUGCGUUUCCCAGUCCGAAUUGGUUAUUUGAUUCGAGAAAGCUCGUGGUCAAAUAGAUUUUUCGAAAUUUCAGAAAGCUUGUACUUAUCUCUUUUUUCUUUUUCUUUUUCUCUUUCUCUUGUUUUACAGACAGCACUUUUGUUAGAGAAUAUUUCGUACGGUUCGAAAUCGAGUAACAAGACGUAUCUACAUAUGUACAUGAAUAUGUUAACACAUGUGAAAUAAAAGAUAACGAGAGUAUGUAUGUAUAUACGUAAUCGCGUAGGAACUUUAUAAAUUAAUAAAAAUGAUAUAAUGUAAACGAGUAAAAUAAUAAAUUGUCGGAAACAUUUAUCUUUUUCUCCAGACCCGAGAGAAUUAUGAAAGUCCAUCAAAGUAUAAUAAAUUAAUUUGUAUUUUA